rnacentral:rRNA from 1 species
ACGCACGCUGGCGGCGUGCUUAACACCUGCCAGUCGAGCGGAAAGGCCCUUCGGGGUACUCGAGCGGCGAACGGGUGAGUAACACGUGAGUAAUCUGCCCUUGGCUUUGGGAUAACUACCGGAAACGGUGGCUAAUACCGGAUACGACAACCGUCUGCAUGGGCUGGUUGUGGAAAGUUUUUUCGGCCAGGGAUGUGCUCGCGGCCUAUCAGCUUGUUGGUGGGGUAAUGGCCUACCAAGGCUUCGACGGGUAGCCGGCCUGAGAGGGUGACCGGCCACACUGGGACUGAGACACGGCCCAGACUCCUACGGGAGGCAGCAGUGGGGAAUAUUGGACAAUGGGCGGAAGCCUGAUCCAGCAACGCCGCGUGAGGGAUGACGGCCUUCGGGUUGUAAACCUCUUUCAGUACCGACGAAGCGCCGAUGAUGGUGGUGACGGUAGGUACAGAAGAAGCACCGGCCAACUACGUG